rnacentral:rRNA from 1 species
AGAGUUGAUCAUGGCUCAAGGAUGAACGCUAGCGGCAGGCUUAAUACAUGCAAGUCGAGGGGCAGCACGGGUAGCAAUACCUGGUGGCGACCGGCAAACGGGUGCGGAACACGUACGCAACUUUCCCAAAACUGGUGAAUAGCCCUCCGAAAGGAGGAUUAAUACACCGUAACAUAACGAGUAGGCAUCUACUUGUUAUUAUAGGCUUCGGCCGGUUUUGGAUGGGCGUGCGCCUGAUUAGGUAGUUGGCGGGGUAACGGCCACCAAGCCUGCGAUCAGUAACUGGUGUGAGAGCACGACCAGUCACACGGGCACUGAGACACGGGCCCGACUCCUACGGGAGGCAGCAGUAAGGAAUAUUGGUCAAUGGACGAAAGUCUGAACCAGCCAUGCCGCGUGAAGGAUUAAGGCCCUCUGGGUUGUAAACUUCUUUUAUCUGGGACGAAAAAAGGGCUUUCUAGCUCACUUGACGGUACCAGAGGAAUAAGCACCGGCUAACUCCGUG